rnacentral:rRNA from 1 species
UACGAAGGGGGCUAGCGUUGUUCGGAUUAACUGGGCGUAAAGGGUGCGUAGGCGGAUUUUUAAGUCAGGGGUGAAAUCCCAAGGCUCAACCUUGGAACUGCCUUUGAUACUGGAAAUCUUGAGUCUGGGAGAGGUGAGUGGAACUGCGAGUGUAGAGGUGAAAUUCGUAGAUAUUCGCAAGAACACCGGUGGCGAAGGCGGCUCACUGGCCCGGUACUGACGCUGAGGCACGAAAGCGUGGGGAGCAAACAGG